rnacentral:misc_RNA from 1 species
GAUGAAGAACGCAGCGAAAUGCGAUAAGUAAUGUGAAUUGCAGAAUUCAGUGAAUCAUCGAAUCUUUGAACGCACAUUGCGCCCUCUGGUAUUCCGGGGGGCAUGCCUGUUCGAGCGUCAUUUGUACCUUCAAGCUCUGCUUGGUGUUGGGUGUUUGUCCUUGCUCUAGUGGCGGGACUCGCCUUAAAGUAAUUGGCAGCCAGUGUUUUGGUUUUGAAGCGCAGCACAAGUCGCGAUUCAAGUCUAUACGCUAGUUUCCACAAGUCUUUUAUCACUUUUGACCUCGGAUCAGGUAGGGAUACCCGCUGAACUUAAGCAUAUCAAUAAGCGGAGGA